CUGGCCACGGCAGUUUCAGCGUGACAUCUAUGCCCGUCGGAUGCGUUGGCGGGUUUUUUUCGGGGGUUUUUUCGGGAGCUCGAACCGUGGAGAAGUUUCGAUAGGUGAGGAGGUGCUUUUUUGUAUUCGCGCGCGGAUUUUACGGAUUGUUUUUGCGGCGGGAUCGAUCCGGGACGAGAGUGACCGCGGUCGAGGAUCUUGAUCUGGGAAGUUGUGAUCGAACGAGUGAUUCGCGGUGGGAGUGUUUUUAUUGUUCUUUUUUUGUUCCCUCGUACGAAGCGCGCCCAUCCUGAGAGGAUGAGGAUGCUGUGAAGAGUCCGGAGAGGAAGGUCGUCGUCGUCGUCGUCGUCGCGGCCAAGAAGAAUGGUUAUUAAAUCGAUGACGUCGGUGUUUCUGGUCCCGGUCAGGUUGAAGGGUUGACAUGGUGGUGGAUGGAUGCUGCUCCACUUGCACGAUGAUGGCCAAUCGCAGGGCCUGUGACGGAGGUUAGGGUUGGGCCCUGAGCCCCCGUGACAGCAGUGUGGUGGAAAUCGGCUUGUUGACGACUGAGUGAGCCCGUGCAAGAGUGAUGGUCGUCGUGAUGGUGUACGAUACGAUAGUUCUAGCGUACGAUACAGUCGAUAGGGCUUAAUGGUGCAUCGGUUGUUCUGUGUUGAUACAGGCAUCGUACGGUGAACUUCAGCAGUGUGCUGCAGCAAACAAAAACAAAAGCUCGGCUGCGCAUCGAAGAGGGAGUUGACAUCUCGCAAAAUUAAUUUAGCCGUGAUUCGGCAACUCGCCAAGUGUGCUAAAAAGUGUGAUGAAAAUUGAUUGUGUGGCGAAAGCCGAAAGUGCGCGUGUGUGUGUUGUGUGCAACCAAAGAAGAACUCAACGUCCUUGAAGAGUUUGCCGAAACGUGACCAAGUUCUUGGAAGAGUUUUUGCGCCACAAAGUGUCCAGUCAUGGGAUUUUGCUGGAGCUGUUGAACGGCAAAACUUUUGUUCCGAAGAAAUAAACACGGAAUACCAACAUCAUCCUCCGGUCCGGAAAUCAACACAAAAGGCCACCGCCGAACAAAAGCGCUGAAAGGCCACACAAACACACGGAUUCCGGAAACAACGCAGCCAGGAGCAGCUUUUUUCAAAUUAAGCGGUGUUACGUAUUAUGGAAAACUUUUCCGUUGCGAAUCCAACGAGGCCAGCGGCAGACGUCGAGGGGCGGCUCUGGCGCCCUCGGAUGCAAAUGACUGCUCUGGCAACUUCGGCGGACCCUCCCGGGCGCGGCGACGGCGGCUCGUAAUCGUCGACCAGCCAUAUUGUACGGAUCGUCAGCUUUGGUAGAUCCCUCAAAAUAAAAAAAGGGAAGAAAAAAAAGCGAAAAAAAAGCGAACUUGAGACUUGAGCAUAGCGUGAAAUUGCAACUGAUGGUAUUGUCGGAAUAAUUUAUAAUAAUAUAAUCCACUUCAACGGUAAAAGUUGCGGGAAGACCAUGGUGGAACAGUUCUCAACAAUGGAAAAUAAAAAAGUUGCUCAAGCGGUGAAAUAGACGCGAAUACCUCCACCAAGUACAAGCUACUAAGAGAAGAAGAAGAAGAAAGAAGGUAGAAGUUUAAUCACCUGUUGUAAAACAAAAAAGGAAGAAAAAGUUUGAAGAAAAGAAAGAAAGUAUUAAAGGUAGACAUUUUCCGGAGCCAAGCCAAGCGAAAAAAACGAGGUUCAAAAGUUUCGCAACAAAAGUAGCUUCGGAGGAGAACCGAAAGUGAGAGUGACGUUUGAGCUUUUCGGGGGAGAAGUUGUUCGGGGGAGGGGAGGAAAUGUGUAAGCUUUUUUCGCUCCCUUUUGCUGCUGGUGGGUGGUGGGAGUGUGCGCAAGUGUUAAGGUUAUGGUAAUCCUCGUGAGCACAGCUCGAAAAGUUUGGAAAAUUUUUGGGCCCCAAGUAAAGUGAAAAAGUAAGGGAGAGAGAGAGCAAAAAAAAGAAGCUUCCAGUUGACAAAUGUAACAUCUGCCAUCGUGAGUUGUGGGGAAAAAAAGCAAGAAAAAAAAGAGUAAAGGAAAAAAAGAGUUAGUGUUUUGUGAAGGAUCAGAGAGCUUCGGAGGAUGGCGAACUUGAUGAUCCCGAGGAUGACGGUGACGGUCCAGGUGGGCUGUCUGCUGAUGGUGAUGCUGGUUCAGCUGGCCACCGGAGUCAAAGAUGGUAAGCUUCAAUUUGGAUUUGUGAGAAAAAACAUCUUCAAGCUCAGGUAAAACCAUUCGCCUAAAGUUAUGUGACCAACAGGGAAAAAAAAGAAUAACAGCAAAUCGUUACGAAAAUUGCCAAUUUCCCAGUAGGAAAUCGAGGGCAAACAGGAUGGUUGUUGUCCAAUUUGCUGGCAAACAAAACUCAUUGGCUAGAUAAUUGCCGAUCAAUUCCAUCAAGUGCCAUUUGUUGAACUUGUGUGCUAUCGCCCCUGCGGGUAGGCAAUGCCGGCGCAAAGUUUGCUCAAUCUGGCCGUCCCAAGGGCGUUUUUGUGUUGUGUUUAUGUUUUGUUGUUGGAAAAUCUAAGCUGUCAAGUGCAACAAAAUUAUUCCAGACGAUUUAAUUGGA